GACGAACGCUGGCGGCAAGCUUAACACUUGCAAGUCGAACGCCGUAGCAAUACGGAGCGGCAGACGGGUGAGUAACACGUGGGAACGUGCCUUUCGGUUCGGAACAACUGAGGGAAACUUCAGCUAAAACCGGAUACGCCCUUCGGGGGAAAGUUUACGCCGAAAGAUCGGCCCGCGUCAGAUUAGGUAGUUGGCGGGGUAAUGGCCCACCAAGCCGAUGAUCUGUAGCUGUUCUGAGAGGAAGAUCAGCCACACUGGGACUGAGACACGGCCCAGACUCCUACGGGAGGAAGCAGUGGGGAAUAUUGGACAAUGGGCGCAAGCCUGAUCCAGCCAUGCCGCGUGAGUGAUGAAGGCCCUAGGGUUGUAAAGCUCUUUUGUGCGGGAAGAUAAUGACGGUACCGCAAGAAUAAGCCCCGGCUAACUUCGUGCCAGCAGCCGCCGCCGUAA
rnacentral:rRNA from 1 species